rnacentral:rRNA from 1 species
GAUGAACGCUGGCGGCGUGCCUAAUACAUGCAAGUCGAACGAAACUUCUUUAUCACCGAGUGCUUGCGCUCACCGAUAAAGAGUUGAGUGGCGAACGGGUGAGUAACACGUGGGCAACCUGCCCAAAAGAGGGGGAUAACACUUGGAAACAGGUGCUAAUACCGCAUAACCAUAGUUACCGCAUGGUAACUAUGUAAAAGGUGGCUAUACUACCGCUUUUGGAUGGGCCCGCGGCGCAUUAGCUAGUUGGUAGGGUAAAGGCUUACCAAGGCAAGGAUGGGUAGCCGAAGUGAGAGGUUGAUCGGCCACAUGAGGACGGAGACACGGCCAAAAGUCCUGCGGGAGGCAGCAGUAGGGAAUCGUCGACAAUGGUCGGAAGCAUGAUGGAGCAACGGGGCGUGGGUGAAGAAGGUCUUCGGAUCGUAAAGCCGUGUUGUUAGAGAAGAAAGUGCGUGAGAGUAAAUGUUCACGUUUCGACGGUAUCUAACCAGAAAGCCACGGCUAACUACGUG